rnacentral:rRNA from 1 species
UACGGAGGGUGCGAGCGUUGUCCGGAAUCACUGGGCGUAAAGGGCGCGUAGGCGGCGCGGGAAGUCAUCGGUGAAAGUUCAGGGCUCAACUCUGAAUCGGCCGGUGAUACUCUCGUGCUCGAGUACUGUAGAGGCAGGUGGAAUUCCGGGUGUAGCGGUGGAAUGCGUAGAGAUCCGGAAGAACACCGGUGGCGAAGGCGGCCUGCUGGGCAGUAGCUGACGCUGAUGCGCGACAGCGUGGGGAGCAAACAGG